rnacentral:rRNA from 1 species
AUUGAACGCUGGCGGCAUGCCUUACACAUGCAAGUCGAACGGUAACAGGUCUUCGGAUGCUGACGAGUGGCGAACGGGUGAGGCAGACAUCGGAACGUGCCUAGUAGUGGGGGAUACCUACUCGAAAGAGUGGCUAAUACUGCAUGAGAUCUACGGAUGAAAGCAGGGGAUCGACAGACCCUGUGCUACUAGAGCGGACGAUGGCAGAUUAGGUAGGUGGUGGGAUAAAAGCUUACCAAGCCGACGAUCUGUAGCUGGUCUGAGAGGACGAUCAGCCACACUGGGACUGAGACACGGCCCAGACUCCUACGGGAGGCAGCAGUGGGGAAUUUUGGACAAUGGGCGAAAGCCUGAUCCAGCAAUGCCGCGUGCAGGAUGAAGGCCUUCGGGUUGUAAACUGCUUUUGUACGGAACGAAAAGCCCCGGGUUAAUACCCUGGGGUCAUGACGGUACCGUAAGAAUAAGCACCGGCUAACUACGUGCCAGCCGCCGCAGUAA